rnacentral:rRNA from 1 species
GAUGAACGCUGGCGGCGUGCCUAAUACAUGCAAGUCGAGCGAACAGACGAGGAGCUUGCUCCUCUGACGUUAGCGGCGGACGGGUGAGUAACACGUGGAUACCUACCUAUAAGACUGGGAUAACUUCGGGAAACCGGAGCUAAUACCGGAUAAUAUAUUGAACCGCAUGGUUCCAUAGUGAAAGACGGUUUUGCUGUCACUUAUAGAUGGAUCCGCGCCGCAUUAGCUAGUUGGUAAGGUAACGGCUUACCAAGGCAACGAUGCGUAGCCGACCUGAGAGGGUGAUCGGCCACACUGGAACUGAGACACGGUCCAGACUCCUACGGGAGGCAGCAGUAGGGAAUCUUCCGCAAUGGGCGAAAGCCUGACGGAGCAACGCCGCGUGAGUGAUGAAGGUCUUCGGAUCGUAAAACUCUGUUAUUAGGGAAGAACAAAUGUGUAAGUAACUAUGCACGUCUUGACGGUACCUAAUCAGAAAGCCACGGCUAACUACGUG